rnacentral:rRNA from 1 species
GACGAACGCUGGCGGCGUGCUUAACACAUGCAAGUCGAACGGACAGGUCCUGCUCUUGUGUGGUGCUCGAGUGGCGAACGGGUGAGUAACACGCGAGUAACCUGCCCUUGUCUUUGGGAUAACUUCAGGGAACUGGGGCUAAUACCCGAUAGGAGCUCCUGAUGCAUGGUGGUGGUUGGAAAGUUUCGGCGGUUGGGGAUGGACUCGCGGCUUAUCAGCUUGUUGGUGGGGUAGUGGCUUACCAAGGCUUUGACGGGUAGCCGGCCUGGGAGGUGGACCGGCCACAUGGGGACUGAGAGACGGCCCAGACUGCUACGGGAGGCAGCAGUGGGGAAUAUUGCACAAUGGGCGGAAGCCUGAGGCAGCAACGCCGCGUGCGGGAUGACGGCCUUCGGGUUGUAAACCGCUUUCGCCUGUGACGAAGCGUGAGUGACGGUAAUGGGUAAAGAAGCACCGGCUAACUACGUG